UUUUCCCCGGACAGCCCUGCCGCCUGCGGGGAGAGGGGACUUAAGGGUCUGCGGCUUGUCCCUUCUCCCCGUCGAAACGGGGAGAAGGUCGCGGCAG
rnacentral:sRNA from 1 species